GCCGAUGUAGCUCAACUGGUUUAGAGCGCCUCAUUCGUAAUGAGGGGGUUACCCGUUCGAAUCGGGUCAUCGGCU
rnacentral:tRNA from 3 species